GAAGGAUUAGCGGCGAACGGGUGAGGAACACGUGAGGAAUCUGCCUUCAACACUGGGAUAACUCCGGGAAACCGGGGCUAAUACCGGAUAUGAGCCUUGAUCGCAUGAUCGGGGCUGGAAAGUUUUUCGGUUGAAGAUGACUUCGCGGCCUAUCAGCUAGUUGGCGGGGUAAUGGCCCACCAAGGCAUCGACGGGUAGCUGGUCUGAGAGGGCGACCGGCCACACUGGGACUGAGACACGGCCCAGACUCC
rnacentral:rRNA from 1 species